GACGAACGCUGGCGGCGUGCUUAACACAUGCAAGUCGAACGGAAAGGCCCUGCUUUUGUGGGGUACUCGAGUGGCGAACGGGUGAGUAACACGUGAGUAACCUGCCCUUGACUUUGGGAUAACUUCAGGAAACUGGGGCUAAUACCGGAUAGGAGCUCCUGCUGCAUGGUGGGGGUUGGAAAGUUUCGGCGGUUGGGGAUGGACUCGCGGCUUAUCAGCUUGUUGGUGGGGUAGUGGCUUACCAAGGCUUUGACGGGUAGCCGGCCUGAGAGGGUGACCGGCCACAUUGGGACUGAGAUACGGCCCAGACUCCUACGGGAGGCAGCAGUGGGGAAUAUUGCACAAUGGGCGGAAGCCUGAUGCAGCAACGCCGCGUGCGGGAUGACGGCCUUCGGGCUGUAAACCGCUUUCGCCUGUGACGAAGCGUGAGUGACGGUAAUGGGUAAAGAAGCACCGGCUAACUACGU
rnacentral:rRNA from 1 species